rnacentral:rRNA from 1 species
CGUAGGUGGCAAGCGUUGUCCGGAUUUAUUGGGUUUAAAGGGUGCGUAGGCGGCCUUAUAAGUCAGUGCUGAAAUAUCCCGGCUUAACCGGGAGGGUGGCAUUGAUACUGUAGGGCUUGAGUGUAGUCGAGGUAGGCGGAAUUGACGGUGUAGCGGUGAAAUGCUUAGAUAUCGUCAAGAACACCGAUAGUGUAGACAGCUUACUAGGCUACAACUGACGCUGAGGCACGAAAGUGUGGGGAUCAAACAGGAUUAGAUACCCUGGUAGUCCACACUGUAAACGUUGAUUACUCGCUGUUGGCGAUACACAGUCAGCGGCUUAGCGCAAGCGAUAAGUAAUCCACCUGGGGAGUACGCCGGCAACGGUG